rnacentral:rRNA from 1 species
GACGAACCGCCCGAACGUUAUUCGGAAUCACUGGGCUUAAAGGGUGCGUAGGCGGCUGGGCAAGUUGGGUGUGAAAUCCCUCGGCUUAACCGAGGAACGGCGCCCAAAACUGCCUGGCUAGAGGAAGAUAGGGGUGAGCGGAACUUAUGGUGGAGCGGUGAAAUGAGUUGAUAUCAUAAGGAACACCUGUGGCGAAAGCGGCUCACUGGAUCUCUUUUGACGCUGAGGCUCGAAAGCUAGGGGAGUGAACGGU